GUAGGUGGCAAGCGUUGUCCGGGAAUUAUUGGGGCGUAAAGCGCGCGCAGGCGGUUCUUUAAGUCUGAUGUGAAAGCCCACGGGCUCAACCGUGGAGGGUCAUUGGAGACUGGAGAGCUUGAGUACAGAAGAGGAAAGCGGAAUUCCACGUGUAGCGGUGAAAUGCGUAGAGAUGUGGAGGAACACCAGUGGCGAAGGCGGCUUUCUGGUCUGUAACUGACGCUGAGGCGCGAAAGCGUGGGGAGCAAACAGGAUUAGAUACCCUGGUAGUCCACGCCGUAAACGAUGAGUGCUAAGUGUUAGGGGGUUUCCGCCCCUUAGUGCUGCAGCUAACGCAUUAAGCACUCCGCCUGGGGAGUACGGCCGCAAGGCUG
rnacentral:rRNA from 1 species